rfam:Mesocricetus auratus contig159610, whole genome shotgun sequence.
GUGGGUAGGGGCUCAGCAGUUAAGAGCAUUGGCUGCUCUUCCAGAGGACCUGGGUUCAAUUCCCAGUACCCACA